AAUUAAUGACAGGGAUCCUGAUAAUGGCAUUGGGAAAGGCCCGCUUGGCACUGGUAACUAAAAGUCCCAAUUGUUUGUCAGUGGUGUUCGGAAGUAGAAGGCCAAGGCAGUUGUUGAGGCCCACCGAAAGAAUGACCUCCUUAACUAGUUUAUGUGGUUUAAGCCCUUUCAAAAUGGACUGCAUAUGAUGAAUCCCUGCACCAGGGAAGCUGUCAAUUUGGAUUUUGGGAUCCUCAAAAUGAGGAAUUCUAGAUAAAUUGGAAUCUCCCAGAAUAACAAUGGGUUUAAUGAUUUUAACUGACCAAUCUUUCAAUUUUCUGUUUGUAUUGAUAUGUCUAUGGGGUUCACGUCGUGCUGCAAAGUUCAGAGAGGAGCCACUCGGCAAGGCAAAGACAUCCUCAGAUCGAGCAGGGGUGAUGGUGCUAGCACUGGCUAUCUGCUGGGGAGGCUUGGUUUCAUCCCUGAAGUCUGACUGGCUGUUCUGCACCUCAUCAGCUGUAGGUGCACAAGAGGGAGUUAACGAAUGUACAGUAUCAUGGCUGGGGUUUACAGGAACGACGGCAGAGUCGUUCAAGCACGGAGGGAGAGGAGAGUUUCUGAAUGUAGAAUUCUCCACAUCCCCCACCAAAGGUUCAGGGCUCCUGGAUAAGCUCAACUGGGCCGGGUUAUCCUUUGGAGAGGUCAAAGUCAAACUACUUCUCUGAUGUCUAAGAGAUCUUUGUGGUAGAGGGGAGUUUGAGAGUUGUUCAAUAAGAACAGCUGGUGGCGGUAGAGGAGGAAAAUCUUCCUCUUAGGGUUGGAAGCCUGCUGAGGCCGUUGAUGGUGCCCCGGAAGAGGGAGUCAUGAUCAUGGCUCGCAACAUCUCGAUGGAGGAAGGAGUUAGUUUGCGACCAUAUCUGGCACGGGCCCACUUGAGAGCUCGAUUAUAAGCUUCUAACUGAAACGGAGGUAAGUUUAAAAGAUUGUGAGAGAUAACCUGAUCAUAGUGGUCACGUAGGAUCACAAAGUUGUUGUGUAUCCACUCAUCUGUGUUCUGUUGAACUCUCUGAAAGGUGGCCAAAUUGGUUGAUCCAGGUUUAAUAAAAGUGGUCGUCUUGUUAAUUUUGUGAACCAUGCCUUUAGGAUAAGCUUUGGUUUCUAAUGAGUUGUUAACAAUCUCAGAAUGAUGAACAGCCUGGAGUAACUUAAAAUAAACUUUGGUGGCAUCUAUAUUGAGUGGUGUGUUCAAUUGUGCUACCUGUUCUUGUUCCCUAGAUUGAAGAUGAGGAGGAGGGGUUAGGGUUAGGGUUAGGGAACCUGUAAGACCCAAAUAUAGAAAAACCUAAGAAAAAAUAUAUUUGACCUUUAAAAUGUUGUUGUAGGAGGCCUUUGAUGCAGAAAUGAAAGAUUUUUCUUAAAAAAAAUGUUUAUGUACG
ensembl:lncRNA